UGCCAGCCGCCGCGGUAAUACGGAGGGUGCAAGCGUUGUUCGGAAUUAUUGGGCGUAAAGCGCGUGUAGGCGGUUCGUUAAGUCUGAUGUGAAAGCCCGGGGCUCAACCCCGGAAGUGCAUUUGAAACUGUGUGGCUCGAAUAUAGGUGAGGUAGGCGGAAUGUGCGGUGUAGCGGUGAAAUGCAUAGAUAUUACACAGAACACCAAUUGCGAAGGCAGCUUACCAAACUAUUAUUGACGCUGAAGCACGAAAGCGUGGGUAGCGAACAGGAUUAGAUA
rnacentral:rRNA from 1 species